AACGCGAAGAACCUUACCUACUCUUGACAUCCACGGAACCUGGUAGAGAUACUGGGGUGCCUUCGGGAACCGUGAGACAGGUGCUGCAUGGCUGUCGUCAGCUCGUGUCGUGAGAUGUUGGGUUAAGUCCCGUAACGAGCGCAACCCUUAUCCUUAGUUGCCAGCGAGUAAAGUCGGGAACUCUAGGGAGACUGCCGGUGACAAGCCGGAGGAAGGUGGGGACGACGUCAAGUCAUCAUGGCCCUUACGAGUAGGGCUACACGCGUGUUACAAUGGACGGUACAAAGGGCAGCGAACCCGCGAGGGGGAGCGAAUCUUAUCAAAGCCGUUCGUAGUCCGGAUUGGAGUCUGCAACUCGACUCCAUGAAGUUGGAAUCGCUAGUAAUCGUGGAUCAGAACGCCACGGUGAAUACGUUCUCGGGCCUUGUACACACCGGAGUGC
rnacentral:rRNA from 1 species